CGUACGGGAGGCAGCAGUGGGGAAUAUUGCACAAUGGGCGAAAGCCUGAUGCAGCGACGCCGCGUGAGGGAUGAAGGCCUUCGGGUUGUAAACCUCUUUCAGCAGGGAAGAAGCGCAAGUGACGGUACCUGCAGAAGAAGCCCCGGCUAACUACGUGCCAGCAGCCGCGGUAAU
rnacentral:rRNA from 1 species